GACGAACGCUGGUGGCGUGCUUAACACAUGCAAGUCGAACGGACAGGCCCUGCUUUUGUGGGGUGCUCGAGUGGCGAACGGGUGAGUAACACGUGAGUAACCUGCCCUUGACUUUGGGAUAACUUCAGGAAACUGGGGCUAAUACCGGAUAGGAGCUCCUGCUGCAUGGUGGGGGUUGGAAAGUUUCGGCGGUUGGGGAUGGACUCGCGGCUUAUCAGCUUGUUGGUGGGGUAGUGGCUUACCAAGGCUUUGACGGGUAGCCGGCCUGAGAGGGGGACCGGCCACAUUGGGACUGAGAUACGGCCCAGACUCCUACGGGAGGCAGCAGUGGGGAAUAUUGCACAAUGGGCGGAAGCCUGAUGCAGCAACGCCGCGUGCGGGAUGACGGCCUUCGGGUUGUAAACCGCUUUCGCCUGUGACGAAGCGUGAGUGACGGUAAUGGGUAAAGAAGCACCGGCUAACUACGUG
rnacentral:rRNA from 1 species